CUCUCAAAUCUCUCAGUUCUCCUUCAAUUCAUAUACCGCCUCCCAGAAAUUCUCUCCAUCAGUUUCAGUCUUUCCAUUGUUAUGAAAUCCUUCCCUUGCAAGUUGUAUAUUCAAUCUUUCCCAUGUUUUGUUUUCCCCGGGCUACAACCUCUGUAUCUACUUCAUCUUUCAAAACUGAUUGAGCCCUAAACAUGAGAGAAUCACAACAUCUUCCGAUGAAAAAAACCCUAAAUCUUCAUAUGGGCUUAAUCAUCGCUGCCACCACCACCUGUUUGCCUGAUUCUUUCAAGGGUUUGCAUCUCUUUCUGUUGGAACCCUUAAUCAGUCGCCGGUUUCUGAAUCGCAACACAUAUGUUUCAGUGCUUUGGGGAUGGCUUUUGAUGCAUCAACCAAUAGUCUACAAAAACCUAUAAUACAAAUAUAUUCUACAACAAAUGAUGAAGUCACCCCCUUCUGGAAAGAGAAAUAUGAAAAGGAUGCUAAUAAAUAUUGGGAUAUUUUCUACAAACGUCAUCAAGAUCGGUCCUUCAAGGAUAGACAUUACUUGGAUAAAGAAUGGGGACACUAUUUCUCUAUGACACUUGAAGGAACUAUUGGUUACAUGGCAUGGCAUAUAAUGAGCUAAUUGAGGAAAUUGAGUAGAUUGAGAUCAACUGCUUUCAAUACUUCUGCAAGUUUUUAUGUUGUCAAUGAAGAAGAUGAAGGGAGUCUGAAAAGUUACAAGUUGAAAGGGGUUAAUAAUCCUGGCCAAAUUUAUGCUAAUCAUCAGACCUGUUGUUGGCUCUUAGAAGGAUAUAUUGUAACACCCCGUGUUUUCGAAUGUCAAAGUCAAAGUCAAAGUCCAAGUCAACUUUGACUUUCU